UACGUAGGGCGCAAGCGUUGUCCGGAAUUAUUGGGCGUAAAGAGCUCGUAGGCGGUCUGUCGCGUCUGUUGUGAAAACUCGAGGCUCAACCUCGGGCUUGCAGUGGAUACGGGCAGACUAGAGUGCGGUAGGGGAGACUGGAAUUCCUGGUGUAGCGGUGGAAUGCGCAGAUAUCGGGAGGAACACCGGUGGCGAAGGCGGUUCUCUGGGCCUUACCUGACGCUGAGGAGCGAAAGCGUGGGGAGCGAACAGG
rnacentral:rRNA from 1 species